CGAGUUGUAAUGACUCCAACCUAAGUGUAUGUGAACUUCCGACUUCGACUGUGUGUGCCCACUUUUGCCGAUGAUGCCCAAUUGCCCAGAGAAAACACAUUGUGGUCUUUCCCCAGCUGCCAUGUGGACAUUGUUUCCAAGUUUGCAUAUGGGUGCCACACACACACAUUUCACUCGGCAAAUUGGAGGGACAAUUACCUUCAAUAAAGUUGAUGCAAACUUCCAAUGCAUUUCAACAAUAUUGCCAAAUGGCCAGGAAUGGAUGACCUCCGACACGGUCACUUCUGCCGCAUGUCAACCGUGAAACCACUGGUGUCGGCUACGUACAAAACCUACCAUAUCAGGAGCUGUUACAGAAGGCUGAGGCAGUGACCAGACACCAGUCCUGCUUCAGAGUAAUGGAGGACACUUGAAUAAGGUUGGUCACAUUUGAUUUGGUUGAAAGUCCUGGAAUUCACCUAACCACCAUUGAUAAUGUAACCAGUGCUGUAUGACGGAGGAAGGCCCCAAAAAAAUCAGAGGAAGGCCCAAAACAUUUUCAAAGACUCCAGCCACUCAAGUCAUAGACUGUUCUCUCUGCUACCACACGGCAAGCGGUACCAGGUCUAGGACCAAAAGGCUCCAUAACAGCUUCUACGCUUAAGACUGCUGAACCUGUACCCCUGUACAUUGACUCGGUACCGGUACCCCCUGUAUAUAGCCUCAUUAUUGUUUUUAUUAUUAUUUUUCUUCACUUUAGUUUAUUUAGUAAAUAUUUUCUUAACUCUAUUUAAUCAACUGCAUUGUUGGUUAAGGGCUUGUAAGUAAGCAUGUCACGGUAAGGUCUACACAUGUUUUAUUCACCGCAUGUGACAAAUAAAAUUUGAUUUGAUUUGUGUACAGUAUGUUGUAAGGAGGUGCCCCCUUCCACUGUGCCAAUGGACUACUCCUGGGCCUGAGUGAAUAAUGUCAACCAGUCAAUGCCAAGCUGGCACGUGUCCCUUGUGAAUUGGCUGUGUUCAAUUGUGUAUGGCUUCCAUGACUGAAUGGUGACAGACUUUCUCUCUCCCUCCCUCUUUGAUAUACGAGUUGGGUCAGAUAUAGGAGCCUAAGUCAGGCUCCUUUAUGACAAGUAUCUGUGACAAGAGGGACCUGGAGCAGAUCUACGCUGCCAUGGACAUCAGAUGGAGGACAGAAGAGAUGCUUUUGAAAUGGAGUCCUCAGGUUGAUACUGAUGUCUGAAUGGGACAGACAUAGAUGUUGCACCCAGCAUUCAAAUUAUACAAAUAUCUAUUA